rnacentral:rRNA from 1 species
GAGUUUGAUCAUGGCUCAGAUUGAACGCUGGCGGCAGGCCUAACACAUGCAAGUCGGGCGGUAGAGAGAAGCUUGCUUCUCUUGAGAGCGGCGGACGGGUGAGUAAUGCCUAGGAAUCUGCCUGGUAGUGGGGGAUAACGCUCGGAAACGGACGCUAAUACCGCAUACGUCCUACGGGAGAAAGCAGGGGACCUUCGGGCCUUGCGCUAUCAGAUGAGCCUAGGUCGGAUUAGCUAGUUGGUGAGGUAAUGGCUCACCAAGGCGACGAUCCGUAACUGGUCUGAGAGGAUGAUCAGUCACACUGGAACUGAGACACGGUCCAGACUCCUACGGGAGGCAGCAGUGGGGAAUAUUGGACAAUGGGCGAAAGCCUGAUCCAGCCAUGCCGCGUGUGUGAAGAAGGUCUUCGGAUUGUAAAGCACGUUUAAGUUGGGAGGAAGGGCAGUAAAUUAAUACUUUGCUGUUUGACGUUACCGACAGAAUAAGCACCGGCUAACUCUGUGGCAGCCGACCG